GACUGUCCCCCCCCCCUCCCUGUCCCUGCAGGAGAGUCUGACGGUGGACGCCCCGAAGAGACACAAGGUCUCUGUGCACGUCCUCUCCAGAGAGAUGGACUCCUGUCCCAUCGUGGGGGAGUUCCCGGCUCAGAACGAUGUCAACCUGGCCCCCGCCCCCUCCUUGCCUCAGCCCACCCUGGUGCAGGACAUGACAGAGUUCAAGAGGAGCCUCCCCCUCUUCCCGCUGGUCAAACCUCACAUCAACUUCAUGGCUGCCAAACUGUGAGGGGGGGGGGCAGCUCCACACGCAGGAAGACCAGCAUCUCACCGAGCCUGCGUGUGCACGUGUGUCCGGCUGCAGCCUAGAGGAGACGAUCAGAAACAAACGUGUUUAAUUUGAAUCACCAUGUUGGCGACGUAGCUCAGAUAGAGGUCGCACAGUCACCUUUGAGAAGCUACACACACACACACCACUGUGUAGAGGAAAUAGUAACCUAUGAAAAAAGGCCACACCCCUUUUAAUGAAGAACAUGGAGGAGUUUAAUUUGAAUUCUCUUUUCAGACAUGCUGCUUUGAGGAGUGAUGUUUGGGGUUGUUGAAGUUUAACAGUAGCACCACGUCUUUUAUCUUUUGGACUCAUAUGUUUCCAUGUAACUAGGAAAGGACUGUCAAAGACAUGAUUUCACUCAAGUCAAUGCUUUUCCUGAAGAAUAUGUUUAUGCUUUUUGAUUGUUUUUAAUCCUGGCAGGUUUUGAAAUGCUUAUAAAAUGUUGGGACCCUUUUGAGGAGGUCAGCUGGUCACAUUGAUUUUAUUGCAUUUUACAGUAGGAUGUCAUUCAGAAACCUCAGGGGAACCUCUAUGCUGUUUUCUUCUUUUUUUAACAUUCAGUUUUAAUAGUGAUUGAUUACAAAUAAAAACACUUUUAUCCUUCAAA